ACCAUGUGCACCUCCCUAGCCUGG
rnacentral:piRNA from 1 species